GACGAACGCUGGCGGCGUGCCUAAUACAUGCAAGUAGAACGCUGAAGCUUGGUGCUUGCCCCGAGCGGAUGAGUUGCGAACGGGUGAGUAACGCGUAGGUAACCUGCCUGGUAGCGGGGGAUAACUAUUGGAAACGAUAGCUAAUACCGCAUAAGAGUAGAUGUUGCAUGACAUUUGCUUAAAAGGUGCAAUUGCAUCACUACCAGAUGGACCUGCGUUGUAUUAGCUAGUUGGUGAGGUAACGGCUCACCAAGGCAACGAUACAUAGCCGACCUGAGAGGGUGAUCGGCCACACUGGGACUGAGACACGGCCCAGACUCCUACGGGAGGCAGCAGUAGGGAAUCUUCGGCAAUGGACGGAAGUCUGACCGAGCAACGCCGCGUGAGUGAAGAAGGUUUUCGGAUCGUAAAGCUCUGUUGUAAGAGAAGAACGAGUGUGAGAGUGGAAAGUUCACACUGUGACGGUAUCUUACCAGAAAGGGACGGCUAACUACGUG
rnacentral:rRNA from 1 species